rnacentral:rRNA from 1 species
AACGUAGGAGACAAACGUUAUCCGGAGUUACUGGGCGUAAAGGGCGUGUAGGUGGUUUUGUAAGUCUGGCGUGAAAUUUCUCGGCUUAACCGAGGCAGGUCGUCGGAUACUAUAAGACUAGAGGACGGUAGAGGCGUGUGGAAUUCCGGGUGUAGUGGUGAAAUGCGUAGAGAUCCGGAGGAACACCAGUGGCGAAGGCGACACGCUGGGCCGUACCUGACACUGAGGCACGAAAGCGUGGGGAGCAAACAGG